rnacentral:rRNA from 1 species
GACGAACGCUGGCGGCGUGCCUAAUACAUGCAAGUAGAACGCUGAAGGAGGAGCUUGCUUCUCUGGAUGAGUUGCGAACGGGUGAGUAACGCGUAGGUAACCUGCCUGGUAGCGGGGGAUAACUAUUGGAAACGAUAGCUAAUACCGCAUAAUAGUAGAUGUUGCAUGACAUUUGCUUAAAAGUUUCAGUUGCAUCACUACCAGAUGGACCUGCGUUGUAUUAGCGUGUUGGUGGGGUAAAGGCUCACCAAGGCGACGAUACAUAGCCGACCUGCGAUGGGGAGCGGCCACCCUGGGACGGGGACACGGCCCAGACUGCCACGGGAAGCAGCAGUAGGGAAACUUCGGCAAGCGACGGAAGUCUGACCGCGAAACGCCGAGGGAGUGAGGAAGGUUGUCGGAUCGGAAAGCUCUGUUGUAAGAGAAGAAAGCGUGUGAGAGUGGAAAGUUCACACUGUGACGGUAACUGACAAGAAAGGAACGGCUAACUACGUG